AACUUUUGGCAAUGGAUCUCUUGGCUCUCGCAUCGAUGAAGAACGCAGCGAAAUGCGAUAAGUAAUGAGAAUUGCAGACUUCAGUGAAUCAUCGAAUCUUUGAACGCACAUUGCGCCCGCCAGCACUCUGGCGGGCAUGCCUGUUCGAGCGUCAUCUCAACCCUCAAGCUCCGCUUGGUGUUGGGGCGCUACGGCCCCGCGCCGUAGGCCCCGAAAAACAGUGGCGGGCCCCCCGAGGCCCCGGGUGCAGUAGUGAAUCUCGCCCGGGCGGCUCAGGCGGGUCCCUGCCGUUAAACCCCCCACCAUACGUACAAGUUUGACCUCGGAUCAGGUAGGAAUACCCGCUGAACUUAAGCAUAUCAAUAAGCGGAGGCU
rnacentral:misc_RNA from 1 species